AUGAACGCUGGCGGCGUGCCUAAUACAUGCAAGUCGAGCGAACAGACGAGGAGCUUGCUCCUCUGACGUUAGCGGCGGACGGGUGAGUAACACGUGGAUAACCUACCUAUAAGACUGGGAUAACUUCGGGAAACCGGAGCUAAUACCGGAUAAUAUAUUGAACCGCAUGGUUCAAUAGUGAAAGACGGUUUUGCUGUCACUUAUAGAUGGAUCCGCGCCGCAUUAGCUAGUUGGUAAGGUAACGGCUUACCAAGGCAACGAUGCGUAGCCGACCUGAAAGGGGGGUGCGCCCCCCCGGGAACUGGACACCGUUCCCGCUCCCAAGGGGGGCCAGCAGUAGGAAUUCUUCCGCAAGGGGCGAAAGCCGGACGGAGCAACCCCGGUGGGGUGAUGAAGGUCUUCGGUUCGUAAAACUCUUUUUUUGGGGAAAAAAAAAGGUGUAAGUAACUAUGCCGGUCUGGCCGGUACCUAAGAAGAAGCCCCGGCCAAACUCCUG
rnacentral:rRNA from 1 species